ensembl:lncRNA
GUUUUAUUUCAUGACGACCAAUAACAAACAGUGUUACCCCUUAUGUUUUUUUUCAUGACGACCAAUAAAAAACAAGUGUUACCCCUUAUUUUUUUUUUCAUGACGACCAAUAAAAAACGACAGUGUUGCAUCUUAUGUUUUAUUUCAUGACGACCAAUAAAAAACGACAGUGUUGCAUCUUAUGUUUUAUAUCAUGACGACCAAUAACAAACAGUGUUACCCCUUAUGUUUUUUUUGUCGUUUUUAUAUUGGUAGUUUUUUCAUGACUGCCAAUAAAAAGCAACAGUGUUACCCCUUAUGUUUUUUUUCGGGGGCUCAUUCAUGUUACGCCCCAGUCUAGGGGUGCCUAGGGCCUAACAUGAAUGAGCCCCCGUCUUCCCCAACUCCCAAGUAGCCACAACCCAAAUCAUCAGUUGUGUGAAGGAAAGAUUUAUUUAUGCAAGGUAGUAAAUAAAUCUAUAGAUAUACAAGAUAAACUUCAGGGCGGACCAAGGCCAAAAUAACAAAUAACACAAACCUAUCUAGAAAGUAAGAAACUAGCCUUAAGAAAACAAACUACAAAUCUUACCUCCCUAUCUAAGUAAAACAAGAGAAAACACCGUAAACAAAACUGGCAGUCCACCCUUACGAUCACACACGUUAACUAUCAACUAUUAGGUAAUGUCCCACGAGACCGACGACAAAGUGGCGGUUGGAAGAGGAAGAGGACGGGGGAAAAACCGGCUGCCCCCAGACGGCCGCCAUCUUGGCUCCUUUGUAGUGGUUAGUUCCCGGCUGCAGCCAACCACAGGCCAGGGCUCGAACCUCGUCCACCAAUCAUCUCCGCGUCCCGGCACACUCAUUUAUGCAUGUCAGGAGAAAGAGAAAAAAGCACAGGGCACACAAGCACACAGCAGACCGAACACAAGAAAUGACCAUAGUCAUAACACGACCAAAAAAAAACAAGUGUUACCCCUUAUGUUUUUUUUCAUGACGACCAAUAAAAAACCAGUGUUACCCAUUAUGUUUUUUUCAUGACGACCAAUAAAAAACGACAGUGUUACCCCUUAUGUUUUUUUCAUGACGACUAAUAAAAAACAGUGUUACCCCUUAUGUUUUUUUCAUGACGACUAAUAAAAAACAACAGUGUUACCCCUUAUGUUUUUUUUCAUGACGACCAAUCAAAAACCUAACAGUGUUACCCCUUAUGUUUUUUCCAUGACGACCAAUAAAAAAACUAGUGUUACCCCUUAUGUUUUUUUUUUGUCAUUUUUUUAUUGGUAGUUUUUUCAUGACUACCAAUAAAAAGCACCAGUGUUACCCCUUAUGUUUUUUUUCAUGACGACCAAUAAAAAACGACAGUGUUACCCCUUAUGUUUUAUUUCAUGAGGACCAAUAAAAAACAAGAGUGUAACCCCUAAUGUUUUUUUUCAUGACGACCAAUAAAAAACGACAGUGUUACCCCUUAUGUUUUUUUUCAUGACGACCAAUAAAAAACCACAAUGUUACCCCUUAUCUUUUUUUUUUGUCAUUUUUUUAUUGGUAGUUUUUUCAUGACUACCAAUAAAAAGCACCAGUGUUACCCCUUAUGUUUUUUUUCAUGACGACCAAUAAAAAACGACAGUGUUACCCCAUAGGUUUUUUUUCAUGACGACAAAUAAAAAAAGACAGUGUUACCCCUUAUGUUUUAUUUCAUGAGGACCAAUAAAAAACAAGAGUGUAACCCCUUAUGUUUUUUUCAUGACGACUAAUAAAAAACGACAGUGUUACCCCUUAUGUUUUUUUUCAUGACGACCAAUAAGAAACGACAGUGUUACCCCUUAUGUUUUUUUUCAUGACGACCAAUAAAAAACCACAAUGUUACCCCUUAUGUUUUUUUUCAUGACGACCAAUAAAAAACCACAAGUUUUGACGACCAAUAAAAAACGACAGUGUUCCCCUAUGUUUUUUUUUUGUCGUUUUUUUAUUGGUAGUUUUUUCAUGACUGCCAAUAAAAAGCAACAGUGUUACCCCUUAUGUUUUUUUUCAUGACGACCAA